UAUUCAUUUCACGUUACAAACUUCCUCCGAAUUCUCUUCAUCAAUUCAUUUCACGUUACAAACUUCCAGCGGUUACUACUCUCCACAUUCAUCUUCCCCAAAUUCUAACCCUAAUUCAAAUACUCAGUACUUCACACAACCUUUCAUCAACCCUCAUCACCACAAAUUCAUCAUUGGACCGCAACAGAUUCACAACGUGCGGAGCACCGUCAUCGGUAACAAAUCUUCAACAGCAAAUUAAACAAAUCGUACAACUUCUUCCGCUCACAACUCAACACACGCGGGAGAAGUUGUACGAUUCAUCGUCAUCUCCCACACGAUUGUAACCUGAUAUACAACGACAUCACCAGAAAAGCACGGUUGCGACAUCAGAUUCACGAACAACAAUUUGCGGAUCUGUCAACAAGCUUCCAUUCGCACCCUGAUCGAAGCAAUUAUUGACUUUUACUAUUUUGAAGAAUGAAUGUGACAUCGCAAUUUUGGUGUGUGCAGUAUCAAAAUGGGAGUGGCUACUUUGAAAUUGCGAGACUUUCUGCUAAUAAGCAAUUACUUUGGUUUAUCCCCCUUUUCAUUUUAAUUAAUCGCAGGACAUACUUGAUUUUGCCAAAUAUGUAACGGUCCCUGUCAUCAAUGGUUUGACAGACUACAACCAUCCCGUCCAGAUAAUGGCUGAUGCCCUUACUAUGAUUGAGCACAUUGGUCGGUUUGAAGGAACCAAGGACUUACAAAUGAACCAAAAUGGGGGCUUCUAAGAAAUUUACAUAGAGAAAUAAAGCAAUGCAAAUCAGCUUUAGUGUCAGUGGAUCCGACAGUGUCAUGGCCUGGAAAAAACCUAGAGGUACAUCUUUACAAGACAAGCUUUGGUGCCUGUGCUGCCUUCCUUGCAAAUUACGACACCUCAUCAUGGGCUUUGUUUUUUAAUUUAGACACCAGUUAGCUUGAUGUAUAUGGCUGCUGAGAUGAUGUGACGGUGAUUGGAAUAUAGAAAAGUUUGUUAUUUAUUGCUGACAAGUGGAAGGACAAGCGGUUUGUCGAGAAUGGUCGGUGAUCACGAAUUUACGAUGACUGGAACGGAGGCAUGGACAUUUGCUGUUGCCACUCACACUGGUGGUGGUCGAGUUCUGCAGCAACUGUGGAGUUUCACUAUUGUUCUAUCAUUUCCGUCGACGAAUCCGGUAAGGCAAGUAUUCACACAUUUUUCAAAUUCCUCUUUUGUUCGAUUCUCUAUUACAGAGUUGUUGUUUUGUUGAUUAUUUAUAUUUCAGAUUGUGAUUCGAUUUGCGAUCAUUUUUUGUGGAGGAUGGAAUUGGAGGAAGAAGUAAGGAGGGAACUUGCAAUUGAGA